rnacentral:lncRNA from 1 species
AGAGACUCGGAGCUUUCUGGUUGUAGUAACCAAAUUUUGUCCGGGUCCUCGAGUUUUUUUGAUUACGUAACUCUACUUUACAUCUAAUUUUUGAUCUUUUUCUGGUCCAAUUUCAGGCCCGAUUUUCGGCCCGAUGUCGGGCCCGUUACUGUAAUCAAUCAGGGAGCUGUCACCUCUCUUUUAAGUCAGAGCAUGGGUGUUGAAUUGUGAUUUGUUUUCAAGGGCGGUGGGAGCCCCUUUUGUUCAUUUAAAAGGACCAUCGAAUUUAUUUCGAGAGGGGGAGGGAGAGAACGAAGAAGGACUACCGAUUACAACGAGAACUCCCCCAAAAUCCCCUAAUCCCACUACACCCUAAAUCCAUUACACCCUAAAUUCAUUACACCCCAAUCCCUCCACAAAAGAAAAUUGACAAAAAUAAACAGAAAUACAAAGCUUUUCUAGCCGAAACUUUGGGGGUUCAAAGCUUCCGAAUUCCCAAAUUUUUGGAGCCAGCAGCCUAGGGCUCAUCCAGACUGCAAAAGAAGAACAAAGUUAGUUUUCAAAGAUUGGUACUCCAAACAAGCCUUUUUGUAAUUCUCAAUCAUUCACAUAUCUUUAGUGUCUUAAAUCCUAUACAUAUUGAUAUACAUGUUAGUGUCGCAUGCUAUAUUAUAUAUCACCAUGUAAGCUACUUACAGUCUAAUAACUUUCAUAAUUGAAUAAAUAAACGACUCCCUAAAACUAACAUUAGCUGGAAAAAUGAAGCUUCUUUAUUUAAUAAAGUUUUCAAGUAGAAAAUCAUUUGUAUAAACAUUUAGAUUACCGAUUUAGCUUUAAUAACAAAACAGUCAAAUUUUUCAAGCAACCUAAAGUUAGUAACAAGACUACCAUCAUCAAUCAAGUAAACUCAGAAUAAACAAAGGGCUCCACCUUUUACCUUUCUCGUCCUCUGCUCCGGCGAGUCCGUCGUCGACAGAGACUUUUAUUUCAAUUUCCUGCUUUUGCCUCUCCGGCUCCAUUGAUCCCCAACUCUAUUGAAAACAGAAACCAAAAUAAAAAUAAAAAACUUAGAGAAAGACCACGAACUCAAACCCUAAAUCUAAAGAUCGGGGCUUGCAAACGACAUGCAAGCCCGGAUCGAACUAAAAAUAGGGAAACGCGAAUAGAAAGGGGGGGUUUUUUUUACCUGUUUCCCUUCCUUUGUCGCUGUGGGAGAAGAGAGGAGGCGGAGGCGGCGGGGGA